AAGUCGUAACAAGGUUUCCGUAGGUGAACCUGCGGAAGGAUCAUUAACACGUUUCCACGUCGCUAACCAACUUUAUACUACGAACUGAACUCGGUGAUAAUUUGAUGAUGCUCUGUGCGAGGGGCUGCACCCGGACGCGUACUUCAUGGCGGCCACGUUCCUUCACAUACUCAGCCUUUGAGCUGGGAAGCUAGUCAUUUUAUCAUCUCCAAUACCGCGGACUGGGACACUUCCAACGGGUUUCGAACAUGCCCUACCGCACCCCAUAUUAACCAUAUUUUACUAUUUUGGCUAACAUAGAUGCACGGAGCCCCACCGCCUCGGAGGCAUGGUGCAUCUCUCGGGUUUUAAUUAACUCAGUACAACUCUUAGCAACGGAUAUCUUGGUUCUC
rnacentral:misc_RNA from 1 species